ensembl:lncRNA
UCUCAGUCCAAUUGUUAGACUCUAUUUGUUCUAAAUUUAUCUAUGAAGUGAAUGUUUGCCUCAAGUUUUCCAUAUGUGUUGUAGAAUGUGUGAGUGAGCCAAUAUUCGGCCACGUGUGGUGUCAACCAGAGGUUUGAGGGGUGAACUGAACAUAAGGUCUACGUGGCCUAUUAGACCAUUAGACAACAAAAUCCUAGACCAACUCCAGCUAUCAAGGACCACCACAAUCCUGUUUUUAAUUUCCCAUGGAACGUUCAAUUGUAUACUGUAGCAGUUAUUCUGCUGUUAUGUCCAUCCAGGUUUAAAAUAGAUACAGUACUGAAUUAUCAAAAGAUGAAGAUGAAAAGUCUAAUCAGAGGCACAUGAACAUAAAUGUGUUCCUCCUAGAGUGGACUGGGUGUUGCUCUGGUUUGUGUGGUUGUUUGUGUGUAGAUGUGUGUGUGUGAUUAUGAUAUGUGACCUUCUCCCUACCAGUGGAUGCUCUGGAGGCUAUGAUGGUCGCUUAGCUCCACCGUACCCCACCUUCCCUUCAGGUAGCCUCUCCUAGAGUACAGAGAGUGGAAAUUAUAGAGGAUUUCACAUUCACAUCUAGCCACCAAAAAUUCUGAGAUUUCCAUACCCAAUUCUUUGUUCUCCAAACACGACGAGUUGAGUUUUUACCAAAAGUUAUAUUUUGGUUUCAUCUGACCAUAUGACAUUCUCCCAAUCUUCUCCUGGAUCAUCCAAAUGCUCUCUAGCAAACUUCAGACGGGCCUGGACAUGUAUUGGCUUAAGCAGGGGGACAUUUGCUAAAUUGUAAUUACUUCACUACUAUGGCCUAUUUAUUGCCUUACCUCCUCACGCCAUUUGCACACACUGUAUAUAGACUUUCUUUUUUUCUGUUGUGUUAUUGACUACGCUUCUUUAUUCCAUGUGUAACUCUGUGUUGUUGUUUGUGUCGCACUGCUUUGCUUUAUCUUUGUCAGGUCGCAGUUGUAAAUGAGAACUUGUUCUCAACUGGCUUACCUGGUUAAAUAAAG